ensembl:snoRNA
AUACUUUUUGUAGUUCGUAAGCAUGGUGAUUGGGUUUUCACACUCAUGUGUGACAUAUGCCUUCCUCCAAUCUUGUUACAAUGUUAGUGCAUUACCCAUCUGACA